UGGGGAAUAUUGGACAAUGGGGGGAACCCUGAUCCAGCCAUGCCGCGUGUGUGAAGAAGGCCUUAUGGUUGUACAGCACUUUAAGCGAGGAGGAGGGUACUGGUAUUAAUACUACCAGGUACUGGACGUUACUCGCAGAAUAAGCACCGGCUAACUCUGUGCCAGCAGCCGCGGUAAUACAGAGGGUGCAAGCGUUAAUCGGAAUUACUGGGCGUAAAGCGCGCGUAGGUGGUUCGUUAAGUUGAAUGUGAAAGCCCCGGGCUCAACCUGGGAACUGCAUCCAAAACUGGCGAGCUAGAGUAGGGCAGAGGGUGGUGGAAUUUCCUGUGUAGCGGUGAAAUGCGUAGAUAUAGGAAGGAACACCAGUGGCGAAGGCGACCACCUGGGCUCAUACUGACACUGAGGUGCGAAAGCGUGGGGAGCAAACAGG
rnacentral:rRNA from 1 species